CUGGCAGCGAGCGCAGAGAGCGCGCGGCGGCGGCGGCGGAGCUGGGCGUGGCAGGUGGACCGCACCGCACCGCACCGCACCGCACCGCACCGCACCGCGCGGCUCCGGCAGCGCCGAGGGUCUCCGUGCCGCGGGGGGGGCGCGGCAGCGGCAGUCGGCGGGGCUCGGCGGCUGUGGGUGCACGUGUCGUGUCCUCCCACACGCACAAAAUUUGCUGUGUUUUUUUUCUUCUUCUUCUCUCCAGCGUGAGCAGUGGGGGGAAAUUUUUUCAUUUUUCACUGCAGUUUUUAAUUUUUCAGUUCCAAGGGUUGCGUUAUUUUUCAAGCCCCGAAUUGCGUAGCGACCAGCGGAGCAUGCGAUGCCACAUGAGCUGAUGCACAAAGCUGUCUGCAUCCUGAAGAAGACCACAGAAUGCCUGGGAAAGGAGAACUCCAAAAAAGACCUCCAGUUCGAGAUGGCUCCCCAAACACAACUUGAGCAUACAGUUGCCUUCAUAGAAGAGGUGUUAGUGCCUGUUCUAAGCAAUAAGAAAAACCAUAGAUCCUGGCCAGGCUUUAUUUCCAGAGAUACGGAGCAGUAUGUGGAAACUGUGAAAAAUAAAACAAGUUAUGAAAGGACUGAUAUCAGGAAGAACUCUUCUUCUCAUUCCUGCAGUUGUAGCAAAGAUUGACUUCCAUCAAAUACAUGCUGAAAAUAAGACUAUUGUGUGAUCUAUGCAACACAGCAAAGAAUGGCUGUUUUGGUAGAUUUUUAAGUCAUGGAUGUAAACUGGUAGUAAAUUCAUGAGAAAGUAAUUGAAUAUUUAAAAAUUAUGCUUGUAACACUUUGAUAAUCAUUCCUUUAAGCACUUAAAAGAUGUUUUAAAGUGUAUUUUAUGUGAUUAGUAUAUUUUAAACACUGUAAUUGCUGCCAUAUGAAAAUAUGAUUUCUAAGAACUUAGGUUUUGGGUCUCUGUUUCAAAAGUGAGAUUCAAGCUGUUUGCAGAGUCGCCAAAAAUUUGAACUACAUGAAAUAUGCUUUCAGAGUUAAGAAAAAUAAGAUUACUUUGUUGGAUUUCCUUUUGCAUGUAUUCUUAAUAGAUCACAUUUCUCUGUAGCCUUGAGCAUUUCAUGCGAACUUAACUUUCAGAUAAAGUGUCUCAUUGUUUUCAAAAGGAGUGUGGCAGCAAUCAUUGUAAUGCACAUUUAUUUACAGGAAAAAAAAAUUAUAUGAGCAAUGUCCCAGAAAACUAACUAUUUUAGUUUUUUUAAAAAAAAUAGGAGUGACUUUAUACAGAGGUGAUUAACUAUCAAUUGCUGGAGAGCAAAGAUUAUUAGUCUUGCCCAUAACAAAUAAUAGUGGUUCUGGUUGGGGUCAGCUCCUUGUUGUAUGACAUGUCAAUGUGGUAGGUGUGCCAGGCAAAAUAGUGCAAAUGUGGAGCUAAAACUGAGGAAGAAGAGAUGAGCUAGCUUAAAUGAAAGCCUUGAGCAAAAAAUAGAGUAUGAAAGAGAACAUAAACUUAUGUUCCAUUAAUAUUUGUUAGAAUGCUUUGCCAUGUAAGUCAUAUUGCCAGUGUUUACAGAAAGAUGAACUAAUGAAGUAUAAUAAAAUAGAUAAGCUAAAAUAUAUUUAAUUUUUA
ensembl:lncRNA